rnacentral:rRNA from 1 species
UACGAAGGGGGCUAGCGUUGCUCGGAAUCACUGGGCGUAAAGCGCACGUAGGCGGCUCUCUAAGUCAGGGGUGAAAUCCUGGAGCUCAACUCCAGAACUGCCUUUGAUACUGGGAAUCUCGAGUCCGGGAGAGGUGAGUGGAACUGCGAGUGUAGAGGUGAAAUUCGUAGAUAUUCGCAGGAACACCAGUGGCGAAGGCGGCUCACUGGCCCGGUACUGACGCUGAGGUGCGAAAGCGUGGGGAGCAAACAGG